rnacentral:tRNA from 5 species
UGGGGUAUAGCCACAAUGGCAGUGGCACCGGGCUGUUAACUCGGAAGAGUGUUGGUUCGAGUCCAGCUACCCUAGC